CUGAGAUCAUGACCUGAGCCGAAGGCAGCGGCUUAACCCACUGAGCCACCCAGGCGCCCCAGGUUUUCUUUUUUAAAGUAAACUCUGUAUUCAACGUUGGGCUCUACCUUGUAACCCUGAGAUCAAGAGUUGCAUGUUCUACCGACUGAGCCAGCCAGGCACCCCAGUUUGCUCUCUAUCUAAAGUUAGGGUCCUCCUUUAUGGCAAUGAUUGCUUUACUGGCUUUAAGGAGCCCAGGCCUAAGUCAAGUUUGAAUUAACCCCUUGGUUGUGUCACAGGGGUGCUAUGAGUGCUUUUCCCCAAUAAUCCUGAGAAUCAGGAGUUCUGUCCUGUCCUGUCCGCUGAGCUUAGGUUCCUAACCGCUUCACGCAGCAACAUCUUACUCCCGUGGGCAAGAGUCAAUCAUCCUUGCAACUAUCACCCAGCAGUGCUGGCAGGGGUGGUGGUGAGGGGGGCAUCAGGUCAAUUUAUUUUGUGAGGCAGAUGAAAACACGGCAUGGGCUGGCUGUGUUUUACCCAGACCCACAGGGCCUGUUCUCAGUCACUGUGUUUCCUCCAGGAGUAACAACUGGUCUGAAGGGGGGGGGGAUUUCCCUUUCCUCUUUUUCCCUCUACUUUUCUCUAAGUCCCAGGGCCUGAUUGGUUAAGUGCCCAGAGAGGAGUCAUGGUGACUCACAAUGGUUCUCAAAACUUUGUGACCACAUGCAAUGAAUGGCAGGCUAUGGACACUGACUAACACCACCUGGGUUACUUCUGGUUCAGGGCUGAACACGGUGAGUGGGGGAGUGCCACGGGAAGGGGGGUCAGCUAUUACAGGUCCUAGGGUACCAUUUCCAUACCCGCUCCCUGCGAUGCACCACUCUGUCUUAUGUCAGACCUCUUCGCCGGAUGAUGCAAAAUCUCUCCGUGAACAUUUUCCCUGUGGGGCUCACCACACUGUCCUAACGGUGUUCAAUGCAUUUCAACAGGUCCACUGGGCAAUGGUCAGUGACUCUGGCCUCGAGAUCCAAUCACCCAGUGAGAGCGGCAAGGGAACUCAGUCCCAGUUCACAUCCAUGGCACAUGCCAUUGCACGGACCUCAGCCAAGUAGUCCCACGGCUGUAUUGUUGACAUUCGAGUGUGACCGUGUGGGUGUUGUCUGGAGGUAGGACAUGGGUUUUCACAGGAUGCUGGAGGACUGAUGGGGAGGACGGGAUUUUGUGUUUGCUGUAGAGCUACUGCACUGAGGGACGCAAAUGACUAUUAUGAGAUGUGAUUUGCCUCCCCACUGGCUGCCCCACUCAGUCUCACCUAACAGCUGAAGACUCAGGCACAGAGUGG
rnacentral:lncRNA from 1 species